AGCAGUAGGACCAAAUGCUGCAUUAGUCAGCAUAAUACUGUAUAUAUGUUUGUGGCAGUGCAGAAGAGAGUCCUGCACAUAAUUAGAAUUCAGCUGGUCAAAGCACCAUGAUCAGAGUGGAAACUUUCACAUUUGUGCAAUUUUUUUUUUUCUGUUAAGAUUUGAGGAGCAUAAAAAUAAAGGCUUUUGUUUUGACUUUGGUGUUAGGAUCUUGUUUGAACAUUGGUGUUCUAGGUAGCAAAUAUUUCAGGACUGUGAACGACCCUAAAAAAGACACUCGUGAUGAUGCGGGUGUUGAGUUCAGUAUUGCCAGACUCAACAAGGUUUGGGAGAAAGCAAUCCGGGUUCAGUUGGCCCCUGUAAAGCAGGCUGAGCUGCACAGUGAUCUGGAAAUUCAAGAGAAGGAUAAACUCCAGUGGAAAAAGCUGAAAGCAGAGGGCAUGGAUGAGGAAGUUAUCUUGGCCAGAUAUGGGCAAGAUGGGAAGAAAGAUACAAGGAAUUUAGAGAACAAUUUCCUAAAGGACCACUACAACACAGAUACUGAUGUUUGAGGAUCCUAGACUAGACAAACUGUGGAGCAAGGAGGAGCUGAUGCACUUUGAGACAAAGGUAGAAAAGCACAAGCAUUACCAGGAGCAGCUAGAGCUUUCACACCAGAAACUCAGACAUGUGGAGGUUUGGGAUAUGAGGAGCACAUGGUUAGAAACAAAGAGAAAUACACCAAGCUAGCUGAGAAGGCUCGAGAAAUGGAGUAUAAGGUAUGUGUUAUGUUUUUCCAUAGUGCUAAUCCCUUUUUAAUGAUGUAUAAGAAAUGUACUAUAGUUAUACAUGCAGUAUAUUGCAAAGAUAUACAGUGCCUAUAGAAAGUCUACACCCCCUUUCAAUUUUCAGCUUUUGUUACCAAAUACCUGGAAU